CAAGCGUUAGCAAUGUGGCGACGAGUACAGCGUCAGUGAUUUUGCAAGGAGCAAAGCUAAAUGGUGAAGCCUUGGUAUACAGCGCCGAAUUGACCGAUAGGACAUCAGCCCUAUUCAUUGAAUUGGAACUUCAAUACUGUGUUGUGCUAAUCAAUUUUGUCAAGGACACGUUAAGUUUUAGUAUGGAUCCCAGUUGCAUUGCCACUGCGUUUACCCCGGGUAGUGUAAUUGGUGAUAUGCAACUUGAAGUGGUUGCCGAUAAUCAAGACAAUGCAGAUCAGCUGGCUUUGAGCAUUGGGGAAAUGUCUAGCAAUGUUACUCAGGUCUUAACAGCUAACGGGCUAACACUGGAAGGAACCGUAUUAUCCUCAACUGUUCAAUGUGAUCAAUCUAAUUGUCAAAAUGGAGGAACUUGUACUACGACAGGACAGCUUUGUGAUUGUCCAACUGGUUUCAAUGGAGAUCUUUGUC